AGUGAGCGCUGGCGGUAGGCCUAACACAUGCAAGUCGAACGGCAGCACAGUAAGAGCUUGCUCUUACGGGUGGCGAGUGGCGGACGGGUGAGGAAUACAUCUGAAUCUACUUUUUCGUGGGGGAUAACGUAGGGAAACUUACGCUAAUACCGCAUACGACCUACGGGUGAAAGCAGGGGAUCUUCGGACCUUGCGCGAUUGAAUGAGCCGAUGUCGGAUUAGCUAGUUGGCGGGGUAAAGGCCCACCAAGGCGACGAUCCGUAGCUGGUCUGAGAGGAUGAUCAGCCACACUGGAACUGAGACACGGUCCAGACUCCUACGGGAGGCAGCAGUGGGGAAUAUUGGACAAUGGGCGCAAGCCUGAUCCAGCCAUACCGCGUGGGUGAAGAAGGCCUUCGGGUUGUAAAGCCCUUUUGUUGGGAAAGAAAAGCAGCAGGUUAAUACCCCGCUGUUCUGACGGUACCCAAAGAAUAAGCACCGGCUAACUUCGUG
rnacentral:rRNA from 1 species